AUCUCAAUAUGGAGAUUAUCGAUCAGGACAUUUACAAUUUGAUUCCAGUAGAAUUAUGGGCUCGUAUUAUAGAUUCCUCUUAAUAAAUAGAACAUAUUGCUGGUUUAUUGUUUUCUUGUAAACAAUUUUUUGGAUUGGUUAAAGUAUUGUAUUCUGUUAUUGAUGUAGCAGAUUUGGCCAUUAAAUAUAAUAAAUUAGACGUACUCAAAUAUAUACUUCAAUUAGAAUCAUUUGACAGUGAAUUUUAUGCUAGUGGAAAAUUAGGUGUAGUUGAUAUUAAUUUAUGGCUCAAAAAAGCUUGCCAAUAUGGGCAUCUUAACAUAUUGAAAUUUUUGAUUGAUUGUGGUGCAAAUUAUCGUGUUGAUCGCGAUAAACCAGUUAUAUUGGCUGCUGAAAAUGGACAUUUGGACAUUGUAGAAUUUUUAUCAACUAAAAAAGUUAAUAUUAGAACUCAACACAAUUAUCCUUUAGAAAUAGCUUGUAAACAAGGUUAUAUUGAAAUAGUCAAGUUUCUUGUUGCAAAUAAAUGUAACUAUUGGUCAAAAAGAAGUAGAGCAUUGGUAAAUGCUUGUAGAUUUGGACAUUUAGAAAUUGCAAAGUUUUUGAUUGAAAAUGGUGCUAAUAUUAAUUCCAAUUCUAGUAAUUUGAAACCUGUAUAUGCAGCGAUUAUGGGAGGUCAUGUUGAUGUUCUAGAUUUUUUGAUUAUGAGUGGGGUAGGAAUAGAGUUUACUUAUGCUGUAACAACUGCAUCUUGCUAUAAUAAAUUGUCUGUAAUAAAAUAUCUCCAUAAUCAAAACUAUGUAAUAAAUUUUACAUUCGCACUUCAAGAAGCUUCGUGUAGAGGCUUCGUUGACAUUGUCGAGUUUUUAUUGACUAAUUGUCUAGACAAAAUUGAUACUUAUCACAUUAAAAUAAUUUUAAAAUCAGUCAUUCUAGGGAGACAUAAUGACAUUGUCAAAGUUUAUAUGGACAACGGUUUUUAUCAAGAGUAA
rnacentral:sRNA from 1 species